GGGGGUAAUCUAUUUGGUCCAUUUGGGAGAGUCUCUGGAGCACUUUCCCAGGUGCCAGGCAUUUUAUAUGUAGGUCCCUUGUGGUGGGCCCCUCUCCACCCUCACUGUCUUAGGAAAUAAAGAAGAAAAUAAUCAAUCUUGUUAACUAGGACUUGUCCCCAAAAUCCUGCUUUCACCUCUGAGCUUAUCUCUUCUGGGUGACUCACCAAUCCUCCAAGGUCUAGUGAAGAUUCAUCUUGCUUUCUUUUUUCCUGGGACCUCAAGGGAAGCUCUAGAUACUCCACUGAAACUGCUAUUUUAAAAGGGCCAGCCCCUUGAGCGUAGGUAGCCAUGUCUACUUUGACUUUGCCACCCUCCCAGUGGUGGACAUACAGUGCCCAUGGAGGAAACAAGUGCGGGUCAAGGUCACUCAAGCCUCUGAGUGCUCUGCCGGCCGCAGAAUCCAUCCCUUGUCUCCUUUCUCUUUAAAUUAGAUGGACUCAUUAAAUUGAUUGCAGCCGACACCAGAACCUCUUUCUGCCUUGAAAACUCCUACAAGGCCUAACAGGUUCUUCCCUCCAUUUUUUGACUUUUGUCCUAACCCUUGAACUCCCCAGGCUGGGGUAAGUGCUCCCAGCUGUGUGCUAUGGUCCUCUUAAGUGGUGUCGUUAACUAUUUUGGAAGCGCUCUUCCGUGAGCCCCUCGAAUGAGGGCAAGGUCUUAGGCACCUGUGCAGCCGAGCUCAGAGACCCCCCCCCCCCAUAUGCCUUUCUGUGCUUUAUCUGGAACGAUCGAUACCCGAGGUCGGUUUUGGAAAGCGGCUUCCCGCGCUGAUCCGGUGCGGUGGGGACCUGAAGAUGCGCGGCAGCCUCCCGGACCACCGCGCGAUCCCUGGAAGGCCGGCGCGCCCAACCAGCCUCUUCCCCGACUUUCCCUCGCUGCUUGAGUUUUCUAGAGCCUCUUUCCCUUCCACUCUCAGUCUUCCCUUCCUUUCUAUGAGCUCUCGCGGGCUCCACAUUCAUUUUCUACUUUGAGUAGCCACGUCUCUUUCAACCCGCGCUCCCUCAACCCUUAAGUCAUCCAUUAAGUUCCUUUUUCACUUUUUUCUUCCAUCCCCCACGCCCUCGAUCUUUGGUUGCCAAUACUGAUCUUUCUUAGCUAGUGAUUGUAUUUCGCGUCUCUGCUCCUUAACCAAAGGCGCCCUAACCUCACGGCUCUCCAUGCCUCGGGUUUUCCCUCUUGGUCUCUCGCCUCCCAUCGUCAGGGCCAGACCUGAGCAGACACUUCACUGCCUGGCGAGCAAGACCGCUCCGCCACCUCCCAGCGGCGGGGCAGGAGCAAGUUAACAUCUUGAAAAGAUGGAAAAAUCUGCAGCGCCCCCUUAGGAGCAGCUUCCGGCAUCGGCCCUUAACCCUGGCCCGGGAAGGGAGCAGAGGUGGGAGGUGUGGGUGGGCAGAGCUGGGGAAACCGGAUCUCGUGUCGGUGUGACCGGCCCUGAAGGUUUUCUCUCCCAGGGUUUUCUUUCCCCUGUUCUUUCCCCCUCCCCCCUCUCUCCAGACAAAAAUACCCAGCAAUGUUUCUUUGGCUGCGCUGUCGACUUUCGCCUCCUAAUCUCGGUUAAAUCAACUCGGGAUCACUGAUGCAGCAUCUGAGCUCAUCAACAUGUCUUUGAGAACGAUCCCUCCGCCAGCCUUUGGGACUUCACUCGGGUUCAAGGAUCACCUUUUUCAAAUUCACCUUGACUGCAAUCUAGAGACUUGCAGACAGCAGCCCACCAGGCUCCUGCGUCCCUGGGAUUCUCCAAGCAAGAACACUGGAGUGGGUUGCCAUGUCCUUCUCCAGUGCAUGAAAGUGAAGAGUGAAAGUGAAGUCGCUCAGUUGUGUCCGACUCUUAGCGACUCCAUGGACUGCAGCCUACCAGGCUCCUCCGUCCAUGGGAUUUUCCAGGCAAGAGCACUGGAGUGGGGUGCCAUCGCCUUCUCCAUCUGUGCACCUAGGGCAAAGUAUUUACUUCUGUGAGCCUCAGUGUCCUUAUCUAUAUAGGAGGAAAAUCAAUUUAACCUGAGCUUCCUACCUUAUAGGUUGUUAUGAAAAUCAUAUGUGAUCAUAUAUGUUUAUAUAUGUAUGUAUAUAUGUAUAUUUAAUAUAUGUGUAUAUGUAUAUGAUAACACGUAGGAAUCAUAUAAGAUAACGUAUGUGUCAGUCAGGUUAGGCCAUGUUAUGCUGUGGAAACAAGACAAAAAUCUCAGUGAUCUAAGCAACACAAUUUUAUUUUUUGUUCAAAAUAAAAAACCAUAACAAAUCAGUUAGUGCUUAGCUUGUUAUCUCUUAGGAACCCAGAAUGACACAAUAGCCAUCAUCUCAAACAUUGUUAAUACCCAGAUACAGACGGAAAGAAGGGUCUAGAAGCAAUUAUAUCAUCUGCUUGGGACUGACACAUAUCACUUUAGUUCCUAAUUCAUUGACCUGAGCUAUUCAUAAGGCCCCAUCCAACCACAGCGAAAGCCUACUGUGGAAGAGACCUGGGACUAUACGGAGGACAGCAUUAACUACCACCACUCUUCAUGGGGGGAAGUUGUAAAUGGCAAAGUGCUUUACAGCUGAGAAGUGUAGAAGUAGACUGAGGAUUUCUAAUAAUUAGAGUCAACAUGAAUUCAUUUAAAAUCAGCACCGGUUUGUGAUUUAACCCUCUAAAGUGAACUUACUUGGAGGUCAUUAAUUUAAAUGGUAUGGAUAUAUUUCCUUGGAAUUACAGAAAACAUUGGCCCAGAGCUUCCAGAGAUGAAGCUUGACAUUUUACUUCACCCCAAGCUAGAUCAACGUUUUCCUAAUAUAUAGGUCUUUAGACAUUCACUGAAACGUCUAAUUAAAAAAUAUAUACAGGUGUGAUGUAACAAUAGAAUCUGUUUCUAUGCUCUUUAAGGAGCAAAAAUCGUCAGAAAUAAUUGCUGUAUAUAUCAUUUGUGGAUAAACCAGUCAUUUCCAAGAUUAAAUAGCAGUCAGAUAUAAGGG
ensembl:lncRNA